rnacentral:rRNA from 1 species
AUUGAACGCUGGCGGCAGGCCUAACACAUGCAAGUCGAACGAGUGGCGGACGGGUGAGUAAUGUCUGGGAAACUGCCCGAUGGAGGGGGAUAACUACUGGAACCGGUAGCUAAUACCGCAUACAAUCAGAUGUGCCCAGCUGGGAUUAGCUAGUUGGUGGGGUAACGGCUCAACAAGGCGACGAUCCCUAGAUGGUCUGAGAGGAUGAACAGCCACACCGGACUGGAGAAAGGGGACAGACUCAGAUGGGAGGCAGAAGUGGUGAAUAUUGCACAAUGGGCGUAAGCCGUAUGCAGCCAUGCCGCGUGUAUGAAGAAGGCCUUCGGGGUGUAAAGUACUUUCAGCGGGGAGGCGUUACCCGCAGAAGAAGCACCGGCUAACUCCGUGCCAGCGGCCGCGGUAAUAG